GACGAACGCUGGCGGCGUGCUUAACACAUGCAAGUCGAGCGGUAAGGCCCUUUCGGGGGUACGACGAGCGGCGAACGGGUGAGUAACACGUGGGUGACCUCGCCCUCAACUCUGGGAUAAGCCUGGGAAACGUGGGUCUAAUACUGGAUAUGACUCCACGGUGCAUGUCGGUGGGGUGGAAAGCCUUGUGCGGCUGAGGAUGGGCCCGCGCCUAUCAGCUUGUUGGUGGGGUGAGGCCUACCAGGGCGACGACGGGUAGCCGGCCUGAGAGGGCGGCCGGCCACACUGGGACUGAGAC
rnacentral:rRNA from 1 species